rnacentral:rRNA from 1 species
UGGGGAAUAUUGCACAAUGGGGGAAACCCUGAUGCAGCGACGCCGCGUGAGCGAAGAAGGUUUUCGAAUCGUAAAGCUCUGUCCUAUGAGAAGAUAAUGACGGUAUCAUAGGAGGAAGCCCCGGCUAAAUACGUGCCAGCAGCCGCGGUAAUACGUAUGGGGCGAGCGUUGUCCGGAAUUAUUGGGCGUAAAGGGUACGUAGGCGGUCUAUUAAGUCAGGUGUGAAAGCGUGAGGCUUAACCUCAUUAAGCACUUGAAACUGAUAGACUUGAGUGAAGGAGAGGAAAGUGGAAUUCCUAGUGUAGCGGUGAAAUGCGUAGAUAUUAGGAGGAAUACCGGUGGCGAAGGCGACUUUCUGGACUUUUACUGACGCUGAGGCGCGAAAGCGUGGGGAGCAAACAGG